CGUGAGUGAUGAAGGCUUUCGGGUCGUAAAGCUCUGUCAAGUGGGAAGAAACCAUAUGGUAUUAACACCGCCAUAUGUUGACGGUACCAUUGAAGGAAGCACCGGCUAACUCCGUGCCAGCAGCCGCGGUAAUACGGGGGGUGCGAGCGUUAUUCGGAUUUACUGGGCGUAAAGAGCGCGUAGGCGGUCUUUUAAGUCAGGUGUGAAAGCCCGGGGCUCAACCCCGGAAGUGCACUUGAAACUAAGAGACUUGAGUAUGGGAGAGGGAAGUGGAAUUCCUGGUGUAGCGGUGAAAUGCGUAGAUAUCAGGAGGAACAUCGGUGGCGAAGGCGACUUCCUGGACCAAUACUGACGCUGAGGCGCGAAGGCGUGGGGAGCAAACAGGAUUAGAUACCCUGGUAGUCCACGCAGUAAACGGUGAACACUAGGUGUAGCGGGUAUUGACCCCUGCUGUGCCGCAGCAAACGCAUUAA
rnacentral:rRNA from 1 species